rnacentral:rRNA from 1 species
UACGUAGGGGGGCAAGCGUUGUCCGGAAUUAUUGGGCGUAAAGAGCUCGUAGGCGGUCUGUCACGUCGGAUGUGAAAAUCCAGGGCUUAACCCUGGACCUGCAUUCGAUACGGGCAGACUAGAGUUCGGUAGGGGGAGACUGGAAAUUCCUGGGUUGUAGCGGUGAAAAUGCGCAGAUAUCAGGAGGAACACCGGUGGCGAAGGCGGGUCUCUGGGCCGUAACUGACGCUGAGGAGCGAAAGCGUGGGGGAGCAAACAGG